UUCGUCCCAAACACUCCCAUCUCUCUCUCUCCUCCUCGUGAUGCCGCAGGUGGAUCUGGAAGCCCUCGUCUCCGCCUGCGCCGGCGGCGCCCGCGACGGUAAGAUCUCCUGCGAGACCGUCGGCGGCGGCGGCGGCGGCGGUCGUCGGGAGGACGAGGAUCCUCCCGAUCUCCCCCGAUUCCGUCUUGCUCUCCAAGGACGCCGAGUUCGACUGGUUCGACCGCAACGCCUUCUACGAGCGCCGGGACUCCACCAAGGCCAACUCCAGUCCCGCCGCCGCCUCGAAUCCGAUCCUCAGCUCCCCGACGAACUCCAACUCGCGGCGGUCGUCGAAUAACUUCAAGUCCAAGGCGUCGAUCCUCGGUCUCCCGAAGCCGCAGAGCUCGUGCUUCGUCGACGCCAAGAACCGGCGCCCCUGCAAGGCGGGAGGCGGCGCGGGGUUCUUCCCGAAGCGGUCGGGAUCGGCCGGCAAGGUCGAUCCCCGGCGGUCGAGCCGUCCUCGCCGAAGGUCUCGUGCAUGGGGAGGGUGAGAUCGAAGAGGGAAGCGAACCGGCGGAAGAGGCGCGACGAGCCGGCUGAAAGGAGCAGAACCGGGCUGUUCGCGAGCCUCCUCGCGAUACUGGGAACCGGCUGCAGGAAUCGGCCGGCGGUCCUGGCCGACGUGCCGCGGGCGGCGUCGCCCGGCUCCCGGGACGAGAGGAAGCACCCGCCGGCGAGCGGCGCGGGCGGCCGCCUCCGGAUCCGCCAGCGGCGGAGGGCGGCGAGCCGCCGUCGGGCCUGGGCGGGGUGAAGCGGUUCAGGUCCGGUAGGAGGCCGGACUCGUGGGCCAACAACGUGGCGUGAGGGGAUUGGCCAGGGCGCGGUUGACACGUCGGUUGGCGGG